AAAAAAAAAACUUUAAUUCAGUGAUGUACAACUAAGAAAAUGUGGAAAUGUGACUGAUUAUGCAAAGUAACAAAAAUCUUUACUGUUGGACAUCGAAAAACAAUGUUGCAUGUAGGCUUUAUGCAAAUGAUGUAUUAAAUAUCGAAAUACUGUGUAUAUAAUCACUUUUAAGGAACACUAGCGUUGGCAGUACAUAAUCUGUAUUAAUGUGCCUGCUUAGUUCAGGCAAUCCCUGAGUUAUUUAGCUGCUCUCCAGAGUCGAAUCUCCCACGGUGCUCCCGAGAUCACCUCCUU